rnacentral:rRNA from 1 species
GACGAAGGGGGCUAGCGUUGUUCGGAAUUACUGGGCGUACAGCGCGUGUAGGCGGUUGUCCAAGUCAGGUGUGAAAGCCUUGAGCUCAACUCAAGAAAUGCACUUGAUACUGGAUGACUAGAGGACCGGAGAGGAUAGUGGAAUUCCCAGUGUAGUGGUGAAAUACGUAGAGAUUGGGAAGAACACCAGUGGCGAAGGCGGCUAUCUGGACGGUUACUGACGCUAAGACGCGAAAGCGUGGGGAGCAAACAGG